rnacentral:rRNA from 1 species
AGAGUUUGAUCAUGGCUCAGGACGAACGCUGGCGGCGUGCCUAAUACAUGCAAGUCGAGCGCGGGAAGCAAGUAAUCACCCUUCGGGGUGUGAGCUUGUGAAACGAGCGGCGGACGGGUGAGUAACACGUGGGCAACCUGCCUGCAAGAUUGGGAUAACUCCGGGAAACCGGAGCUAAUACCGAAUAAUACGUACCAUCACAUGGUGGAACGUUGAAAGAUGGCUUCGGCUAUCACUUGCAGAUGGGCCCGCGUCGCAUUAGCUAGUUGGUGGGGUAAUGGCCUACCAAGGCGACGAUGCGUAGCCGACCUGAGAGGGUGAUCGGCCACACUGGGACUGAGACACGGCCCAGACUCCUACGGGAGGCAGCAGUAGGGAAUCUUCCGCAAUGGACGAAAGUCUGACGGAGCAACGCCGCGUGAGUGAUGAAGGUUUUCGGAUCGUAAAACUCUGUUGUUAGGGAAGAACAAGUACCGUUCGAAUAGGGCGGUGCCAUGACGGUACCUAACCAGAAAGCCCCGGCUAACUACGUGCCAGCAGCCGCGGUAAUACGUAGGGGGCAAGCGUUGUCCGGAAUUAUUGGGCGUAAAGCGCUCGCAGGCGGUCUUUUAAGUCUGAUGUGAAAGCCCACGGCUUAACCGUGGAGGGUCAUUGGAAACUGGAGGACCUGAGUACAGAAGAGGAGAGUGGAAUUCCACGCGUAGCGGUGAAAUGCGUAGAGAUGUGGAGGAACACCAGUGGCGAAAGGNGACUCUCUGGUCUGUAACUGACGCUGAGGAGCGAAAGCGUGGGGAGCGAACAGGAUUAGAUACCC